rnacentral:lncRNA from 1 species
CCUGGUGUUUGGGACAGAUUUUUAAAAGAAGGAGAGACAUAAGGAAAGCGACUUUUUGUUUGGCAUCCUAGAUAAGCACACAAGUUUUAUUAACUAUCGCAGUGGUUUCUGCAGGAGCUCCAGGAAGCAGAUUAGACUCUCUUGGCUGAUCAGGAAGAGAAGACUCAAGCUGUGUGGUUUACUAGGGUCAGCCGUCUGUUGGCAGACAAAGCGGGGAUGGAAUUUAGUCUGAAGUGUUGCUGGUCUCCUGAAGCUCCUGCCACGCAGGGAGACGCCCACGAUGAGUCCACAUGAACUGUGGGUGAAAGAGGAAGCUGGACCUGGACUAGAACCCCAGAUCUGCCACUUAUUCUUCAGCCACUGGAGAGAAGUUCAGCCGCGCAACCCAGCUUCCGCAGAGAGAAGGCCAACGUCUUCGAAGAAUAAGAGUGUACGUGAAAGAAAACAAUG